rnacentral:lncRNA from 1 species
CUCGGUGAGAUUCGUGAAAAUAACAUAUGAAAACAAUAACAUUAUAACCAUCAUAAAAUCAUAUACACUUUGUAACGUAACACAUGUUAUACUUUUGUACUUCAAUAAUCAGACAACAGAUUUACUCUUUUAUCAGCCUACUAGUAUCCAUGGAGAUCCAUAGGGGGUCCCCGCUACACGUGAACCAUUAACAUUAAUAACUUAAUUCCAGGGCCGUCCCCAUACCCCGUCCGGUAUGGGCACCUAAAAACCAUGAACCUCAAUACCCCGUCCAGUAUGAGGGUGAAACGGGCCGUCUCCAUACCCCGUCCGGUAUGGGUGCCAAAUCAUAAAAUCUCUAUACCCCGUCCGGUAUGAGAGACUACAUUCCUGGUAGGGUUCCCUGAGGACCUGGUCCAUCCACCAUCUCCUAGGAUAUCUAGUUAGGCUAUCGACAUUAUCUAU